rnacentral:tRNA from 1 species
GCUAGGAUAGCUCAGUUGGUAGAGCCAAUGAUUUGUAAUCAUUAGGUCAGGGGUUCAAGUCCCCUUUCUAGCUA